GCUCAGGCACGAACGCUGGCGGCAUGCCUAAUACAUGCAAGUCGAGCGAAAGGAUGAGAGCUUGCUCUCUGAUGUUAGCGGCGGAUGGGUGAGUAACACGUGGGCAACCUGCCCUGCACAUGGGGAUAACUCCGGGAAACCGGGGCUAAUACCGAAUAAUCAGUUGGUUCGCAUGAACCAACUCUGAAAGACGGUUUCGGCUGUCACUGCAGGAUGGGCCCGCGGCGCAUUAGCUAGUUGGUGGGGUAAUGGCCUACCAAGGCGACGAUGCGUAGCCGACCUGAGAGGGUGAUCGGCCACACUGGGACUGAGACACGGCCCAGACUCCUACGGGAGGCAGCAGUAGGGAAUCUUCCACAAUGGACGAAAGUCUGAUGGAGCAAUGCCGCGUGAGCGAAGAAGGUUUUCGGAUCGUAAAGCUCUGUUGUGAGGGAAGAACAAGUACGGGAGUAACUGCCCGUACCUUGACGGUACCUCAUUAGAAAGCCACGGCUAACUACGUGCCAGCAGCCGCGGUAAUACAAGCCGAAUUC
rnacentral:rRNA from 1 species